GAUAACCCAAUAAACCCCCUAUCUUUGCUUCAAUCAAAUCGAAUUAAAAAUGAAAAUAGAGAAAUCUCAAAGAAAUUUAGAAAUAGAUAGAUCUCGAAAAAAUAACUUCCUAUACCCACUUAUUUUUCGGGAGUAUAUUUAUACAUUUGCUCAUGAUCGUGACUUAAAUAGAUCCAUUUUGUUAGAAAAUGUGGGUUAUGACAAUAAAUAUAGUUUACUAAUCGUAAAGCGUUUAAUUACUCGAAUGUAUCAACAGAAUCAUUUGAGUAUUUCCGCUAAUGAUUCUAACCAAAAUACAUUUUUUAGGUAUAACAAAAAUUUGUAUUUUCAAAUGAUAUCGGAGGGAUUUGCAGUUAUUGUGGAAAUUCCAUUUUCCUUACGAUUAGUAUCCUCUUUAGAAAGAUCAGAAAUAGUAAAAUCUCAUAAUUUACGAUCAAUUCAUUCAAUAUUUCCUUUUUUAGAGGGCAAAUUUCCACAUUUAAAUUAUGUGUCAAAUGGACUAAUACCCUACCCCAUCCAUCUAGAAAAAUUGGUUCAAAUCCUUCGCUAUUGGGUGAAAGAUCCCUCCUCUUUGCAUUUAUUACGACUCUUUCUUCACGAGUAUUGGAAUUUGAACAGUCGUAUUAUUCCAAAGAAAUCUAUUUCUUUUUUUGCAAAAAAGACUCCAAGAUUCUUCUUGUUCUUAUAUAAUUCUCAUGUAUAUGAAUACGAGUCCGUUUUCUUUUUUCUUUGUAAUCAAUCCUUUCAUUUCCGAUUAACAUUUUCUCAGGUCUUUCUUGAGCGAAUAUAUUUCUAUGGAAAAAUAGAACAUUUUGUAGAAGUCUUUACUAAGGAU
rnacentral:precursor_RNA from 1 species